GGGUGAGGCCGCGGCCGCCAUGUUGGAUGAGGGCAGCGCCGUGAGGGAGAGGACAAGCUGACCCACCCUCGGUGUUCUGCAAAUGUGCUUGGCUGGAAGGGACGGCGACAGCUGCUUGUGGCUGGGAGAGGUGGCGAGACAGGAGGAAAAAAUGGAUUUUCCCCGCAGUGUUUGGGCCAAUCGUUCACUGUAAGUGAGGGCGAUUUUCGCUGUAAGUGAGGGCGAUUAACACUAAUGACUUACCCGCAGGAAAAGCUGAAUCGCUGAGUGCUGCCUGGAGCAGAGCCAGGGAAAUGUUCCCGACACGGACACCACCAUCUAGCGGCACCGUGAAACCUCCAGGGGCUCCCCGAGGGAGCCUUUCGGUGCGGGGG